GACGAACGCUGGCGGCGUGCUUAACACAUGCAAGUCGAACGGAAAGGCCCUGCUUUUGUGGGGUGCUCGAGUGGCGAACGGGUGAGUAACACGUGAGUAACCUGCCCUUGACUUUGGGAUAACUUCAGGAAACUGGGGCUAAUACCGGAUAGGAGCUCCUGCUGCAUGGUGGGGGUUGGAAAGUUUCGGCGGUUGGGGAUGGACUCGCGGCUUAUCAGCUUGUUGGUGUGGUAGUGGCUUACCAAGGCUUUGCCGGGUAGCCGGCCUGAGAGGGUGACCGGCCCCAUUGGGACUGGGAUACGGCCCAGACUCCUACGGGAGGCAGCAGUGGGGAAUAUUGCACAAUGGGCGGAAGCCUGAUGCAGCAACGCCGCGUGCGGUAUGACGGCCUUCGGGUUGUAAACCGCUUUCGCCUGUGACGAAGCGUGAGUGACGGUAAUGGGUAAAUAAGCACCGGCUAACUACGUG
rnacentral:rRNA from 1 species